GUACUCGAUGGCUCAGUUGGAUAGAGCGUCUGCCCUAUACGUAGGAGAUCCCGGGUUCGAGUCCCGGUCGGGGCA